CGAGCACGCGCGUGUGGCAUAUCAAUAAGCGGAGGAAAAGAAACUAACAAGGAUUCCCUUAGUAACGGCGAGUGAAGCGGGAAGAGCUCAAAUUUGAAAUCUUCAAGGUUCUACCUUGACGAAUUGUUAGUUUAUAAGAAGUGUUUUCUGUUAGUAGAGUGGCUAAAAGUUCUUUGGAAUAGGACAUCAUAGAGGGUGAGAAUCCCGUAUUUGUACAGUUACUUUCUAGCUGUGUGAUACACUUUCAACGAGUCGGAUUGUUUGGGAAUGCAGUCCAAAAUGGGUGGUAAAUUUCAUCUAAAGCUAAAUACUUGGCGAGAGACCGAUAGCGAACAAGUACCGUGAGGGAAAGAUGAAAAGAACUUUGAAAAGAGAGUUAAACAGUACGUGAAAUUGUCAAAAGGGAAGCGUUUGACACCAGUGUUGUUUUUCCGAAAAUCAAUUACGAAUGUUUUGUUUUUAAGAAGUUAUGACUUCAUCGGCUUGCUUCUUUCUUUACGAAACUUUCUUAAUGCACUUUUCGGUUAACAAGUCAACAUCAAUUUCUUUUGUUGUAAAAGGGUACGAGGAAGGUGGCUUUCUUUUCGGAGAAAGUGUUUAUAGCCUUGUACCUCUGCAAUCGGAGAGAUUGAGGUCUGCAGCGUAGAUCCUUCGGGGUUAGAUACAUUUGUGCUAAGUUAUAGCUUUUCAUAGACAACUUGUUGACUAUGUUAAGUCUUGUAGCUUACUCGCUUAUGCUAUUUUACCUACGCUUAGGAUGUUGAGUCAUCACACAUCUCU
rnacentral:rRNA from 1 species